rnacentral:rRNA from 1 species
GGGGGACAACGUUUCGAAAUGUGAACGCUAAUACCGCAUACGCCCUACGGGGGAAAGCAGGGGACCUUCGGGCCUUGCGCUAUCAGAUGAGCCUAGGUCGGAUUAGCUAGUUGGUGAGGUAAUGGCUCACCAAGGCGACGAUCCGUAACUGGUCUGAGAGGAUGAUCAGUCACACUGGAACUGAGACACGGUCCAGACUCCUACGGGAGGCAGCAGUGGGGAAUAUUGGACAAUGGGCGAAAGCCUGAUCCAGCCAUGCCGCGUGUGUGAAGAAGGUCUUCGGAUUGUAAAGCACUUUAAGUUGGGAGGAAGGGUACUUACCUAAUACGUGAGUAUUUUGACGUUACCGACAGAAUAAGCACCGGCUAACUCUGUGCCAGCAGCCGCGGUAAUACAGAGGGUGCAAGCGUUAAUCGGAAUUACUGGGCGUAAAGCGCGCGUAGGUGGUUCGUUAAGUUGGAUGUG